rnacentral:rRNA from 1 species
AACAGCUCAAAUUUGAAAUCUGCCGCAAGGCCGAGUUGUAAUUUGUAGAAGAUGCUUUGGGUAUGGCCCCGGUCUAAGUUCGUUGGAACACGACGUCAUAGAGGGUGAGAAUCCCGUAUGUGACUGGGUGCUUUUGCCUAUGUAAAGCUCUUUCGACGAGUCGAGUUGUUUGGGAAUGCAGCUCAAAAUGGGUGGUAUAUUUCAUCUAAAGCUAAAUAUUGGCCAGAGACCGAUAGCGCACAAGUAGAGUGAUCGAAAGAUGAAAAGCACUUUGGAAAGAGAGUUAAACAGUACGUGAAAUUGUUGAAAGGGAAGCGCUUGCAACCAGACUUGCACGUUGUUGAUCAUCCAGGCUUCUGUUUGGUGCACUCAACUGCGUUCAGGCCAGCAUCGGUUUUGGUGGUGGGAUAAAGGCCUUGGGAAUGUAGCUUCUUUCGGGGAGUGUUAUAGCCCUCGGUGCAAUGCCGCCUACUGGGACCGAGGACCGCGCUUCGGCUAGGAUGCUGGCGUAAUGGUUGUAAGCGACCCGUCUUGAAACACGGACCAAGGAGUCUAACAUCUAUGCGAGUGUUUGGGUGUCAAACCCAUACGCGUAAUUAACGUGAACGGAGGUGAGAACCCUUAAGGGUGCAUCAUCGACCGAUCCUGAUGUCUUCGGAUGGAUUUGAGUAAGAGCAUAGCUGUUGGGACCCGAAAGAUGGUGAACUAUGCCUGAAUAGGGUGAAGCCAGAGGAAACUCUGGUGGAGGCUCGCAGCGGUUCUGACGUGCAAAUCGAUCGUCAAAUUUGGGUAUAGGGGCGAAAGACUAAUCGAACCAUCUA